GACGAACGCUGGCGGCGUGCUUAACACAUGCAAGUCGAACGGAAAGGCCCUGCUUGCAGGGUCCUCGAGUGGCGAACGGGUGAGUAACACGUGGGUGAUCUACCCUGCACUUCGGGAUAAGCCUGGGAAACUGGGUCUAAUACCGGAUAGGAGCCAUUUUUAGUGUGAUGGUUGGAAAGUUUUUUCGGUGUAGGAUGAGCUCGCGGCCUAUCAGCUUGUUGGUGGGGUAAUGGCCUACCAAGGCGGCGACGGGUAGCCGGCCUGAGAGGGUGGACGGCCACAUUGGGACUGAGAUACGGCCCAGACUCCUACGGGAGGCAGCAGUGGGGAAUAUUGCACAAGGGGCGCAAGCCUGAUGCAGCGACGCCGCGUGGGGGAUGACGGCCUUCGGGUUGUAAACUCCUUUCGCUAGGGACGAAGCUUUUUGUGACGGUACCUAGAUAAGAAGCACCGGCUAACUACGUG
rnacentral:rRNA from 1 species